GAUGAACGCUGGCGGCGUGCUUAACACAUGCAAGUCGAACGAUGAACCUCACUUGUGGGGGGAUUAGUGGCGAACGGGUGAGUAACACGUGAGUAACCUGCCCUUAACUCUGGGAUAAGCCUGGGAAACUGGGUCUAAUACCGGAUAUGACUCCUCAUCGCAUGGUGGGGGGUGGAAAGCUUUAUUGUGGUUUUGGAUGGACUCGCGGCCUAUCAGCUUGUUGGUGAGGUAAUGGCUCACCAAGGCGACGACGGGUAGCCGGCCUGAGAGGGUGACCGGCCACACUGGGACUGAGACACGGCCCAGACUCCUACGGGAGGCAGCAGUGGGGAAUAUUGCACAAUGGGCGAAAGCCUGAUGCAGCGACGCCGCGUGAGGGAUGACGGCCUUCGGGUUGUAAACCUCUUUCAGUAGGGAAGAAGCGAAAGU
rnacentral:rRNA from 1 species